GAUGUUAAGUAGGCACUUGCAGGCAAAGUUUCUUCAGUUUCGCUACCGUUGACUGCUCUUUCCUACUUUACAUU
rnacentral:pre_miRNA from 1 species